rnacentral:sRNA from 1 species
UCACCAGUUUGGUAGGUGUUGAUGGGUC